AAGUCGUAACAAGGUUUCCGUAGGUGAACCUGCGGAAGGAUCAUUAUCACGUAUCCACGUAUAACCAUUGUGAACCGUACUUUUCCCUUUGUCGUGCAUGAGGUCGUGAGAUGAAUAACAUUAAGGGCUAAGUUCUGUAGUGAUUUAUAGCCUGUUAUUCUGUUUCCAUGGAAGAAAAAAUUCGUUUUUUCUAAACAUACUCGUACACUUCAGAGCGUAUUAAAAUUACUAUUUUAUUUGUAUUUAACAAUUCUAAACCCAAUUUUGAACAUUGACUUAACUUUUUCAUACGCUUAGGCGAUGAAAUUCAUUACGAAACAUAAGAACAACUCUUAGCAACGGAUAUCUUGGUUCUC
rnacentral:misc_RNA from 1 species